CCGGUGAUAGCUCAGUUGGUACGGAGGAGGACUGUAGAUUGGUGCAGUGGUCCUUAGAUCGGUAGUUCGAAUCCGCCUCGCUGGA
rnacentral:tRNA from 1 species